GGAAAAUAUGUAAACAGGAAGUAUGCAUACACAUGGCCCUGCGCGUUGUGGAUUAUCAUGCCUGCCUUCCUGUCAUUAAUUAGCCAUGGAUAUCAGGCGAUUUUUGAAGAGACCUUCGAGUGCUCCCACUCCAACAGAUGCCCGAAAAAGGCCUCAAGUACAAAUGUUGACAAAACCCCUGAAAAAACUGCAUGUCUGCAUGAAAACGGUGUUGAAACCGAUUGGCAGUCCUCCCCCUCUCCCCUCCUCGGCUCCCCGGCUCUCAGGUUGGUUGAUGACAGACCCCGCCGAUGCCUCUUCGUCAAUCAAUCGUCUUCAUUGAUCCAUUAAUUGCAAACCUCGGCAAAGACAUUUAUAGUCAACAGUCAACUUUAAAACCUCAAAUAUCUGAAUGUUUGUAUAAAAUGAUGCUUGUUAUGAUGCUUAUUAAAAUUACUUGUAUACAGUAUGUGGGCCUUCAUGUGUGCGGAAAGAGUAAGAGAAAUGUGUCAAGAUGUAAUAUUUUACAAGAUAUUUGUAAAUCCAAU
ensembl:lncRNA